rnacentral:rRNA from 1 species
AGCUCCAAUAGCGUAUAUUAAAGUUGUUGCAGUUAAAAAGCUCGUAGUUGGAUCUCGGGUCCAGGCUUGUGGUCCACUCCUUGGUGGUUACUGCUUGUCCUGACCUACCAUCCGGUUUGCCCUUGGUGCUCUUGACUGAGUGCUUCGGGUGGCCGGAACGUUUACUUUGAAAAAAUUAGAGUGUUCAAAGCAGGCAAUUCGCCUGAAUAAUGGUGCAUGGAAUAAUGGAAUAGGACCUCGGUUCUAUUUUGUUGGUUUUCGGAACUUGAGGUAAUGAUUAAGAGGGACAGACGGGGGCAUUCGUAUUACGGUGUUAGAGGUGAAAUUCUUGGAUCGCCGUAAGACGAACUACUGCGAAAGCAUUUGCCAAGAAUGUUUUCAUUA